rnacentral:rRNA from 1 species
CGUGUAGGCGGUGAUGUAAGUCAGACGUGAAAUCCUUUGGCUCAACUGAAGAACUGCGUCUGAAACUGCAUGACUAGAGUGCGGAAGAGGGAAACGGAAUUCCCGGUGUAGAGGUGAAAUUCGUAGAUAUCGGGAGGAACACCGGUGGCGAAGGCGGUUUCCUGGUCUGACACUGACGCUGAGGCGCGAAAGCGUGGGGAGCAAACAGGAUUAGAUACCCUGGUAGUCCACGCCGUAAACGGUGGGUACUGGGUGUGGGAGGUGUAAUGCCUUCUGUGCCGAAGCUAACGCGUUAAGUACCCCGCCUGGGGAGUACGGCCGCAAGGUUGAA